rnacentral:rRNA from 1 species
AGUUUGAUCAUGGCUCAGAUUGAACGCUGGCGGCAGGCCUAACACAUGCAAGUCGAGCGGAAACGACACUAACAAUCCUUCGGGUGCGUUAAUGGGCGUCGAGCGGCGGACGGGUGAGUAAUGCCUAGGAAAUUGCCUUGAUGUGGGGGAUAACCAUUGGAAACGAUGGCUAAUACCGCAUAAUGCCUACGGGCCAAAGAGGGGGACCUUCGGGCCUCUCGCGUCAAGAUAUGCCUAGGUGGGAUUAGCUAGUUGGUGAGGUAAUGGCUCACCAAGGCGACGAUCCCUAGCUGGUCUGAGAGGAUGAUCAGCCACACUGGAACUGAGACACGGUCCAGACUCCUACGGGAGGCAGCAGUGGGGAAUAUUGCACAAUGGGCGAAAGCCUGAUGCAGCCAUGCCGCGUGUAUGAAGAAGGCCUUCGGGUUGUAAAGUACUUUCAGUUGUGAGGAAGGGGGUGAAGUUAAUAGCNGCAUCUCUUGACGUUAGCAACAGAAGAAGCACCGGCUAACUCCGUGC